rnacentral:rRNA from 1 species
GAUGAACGCUGGCGGCGUGCCUAAUACAUGCAAGUCGAGCGAGCAGACGAGGAGCUUGCUCCUCUGACGUUAGCGGCGGACGGGUGAGUAACACGUGGAUAACCUACCUAUAAGACUGGGAUAACUUCGGGAAACCGGAGCUAAUACCGGAUAAUAUAUUGAACCGCAUGGUUCAAUAGUGAAAGACGGUUUUGCUGUCACUUAUAGAUGGAUCCGCGCCGCAUUAGCUAGUUGGUAAGGUAACGGCUUACCAAGGCGACGAUGCGUAGCCGACCUGAGAGGGUGAUCGGCCACACUGGAACUGAGACACGGUCCAGACUCCUACGGGAGGCAGCAGUAGGGAAUCUUCCGCAAUGGGCGAAAGCCUGGCGGAGCAACGCCGCGUGAGUGAUGAAGGUCUUCGGAUCGUAAAACUCUGUUAUUAGGGAAGAACAAAUGUGUAAGUAACUAUGCACGUCUUGACGGUACCUAAUCAGAAAGCCACGGCUAACUACGUG